rnacentral:rRNA from 1 species
ACGGCUCAGUAACACGUGGAUAACCUGCCCUAAGGUUCGGCAUAACACCGGGAAACUGGUGAUAAUACCGAAUAAACCUGAUAUGCUGGAAUGCUUUCAGGUUAAAAGCUUCGGUGCCUUAGGAUGGAUCUGCGGCCUAUCAGGUAGUAGUGGGUGUAAUGUACCUACUAGCCUACGACGGGUACGGGUUGUGAGAGCAAGAGCCCGGAGAUGGAUUCUGAGACAUGAAUCCAGGCCCUACGGGGCGCAGCAGGCGCGAAAACUUUACAAUGCGGGAAACCGCGAUAAGGGGAUACUGAGUGCCAGCAUUUAUGUUGGCUGUCCACAUGUCUAAAUCGCAUGUGUUAGCAAGGGCCGGGCAAGACCGGUGCCAGCCGCCGCGGUAACACCGGCGGCCCGAGUGGUAACCACUAUUAUUGGGUCUAAAGGGUCCGUAGCCGGUUUGAUCAGUCUUCCGGGAAAUCUGACAGCUCAACUGUUAGGCUUCUGGGGGAUACUGUCAGACUUGGGACCGGGAGAGGUAAGAGGUACUACAGGGGUAGGAGUGAAAUCUUGUAAUCCCUGUGGGACCACCAGUGGCGAAGGCGUCUUACCAGAACGGGUCCGACGGUGAGGGACGAAAGCUGGGGGCACGAACCGGAUUAGAUACCCGGGUAGUCCCAGCCGUAAACGAUGCUCGCUAGGUGUCUGGGACGGUGCGACCGUUUCAGGUGCCGCAGGGAAGCCGUGAAGCGAGCCACCUGGGAAGUACGGCCGCAAGGCUGAAACUUAAAGGAAUUGGCGGGGGAGCAC